rnacentral:rRNA from 1 species
AUUGAACGCUGGCGGCAUGCCUUACACAUGCAAGUCGAACGGUAACGCGGGGCAACCUGGCGACGAGUGGCGAACGGGUGAGUAAUGUAUCGGAACGUGCCCAGUUGUGGGGGAUAACUGCUCGAAAGAGCAGCUAAUACCGCAUACGACCUGAGGGUGAAAGCGGGGGAUCGCAAGACCUCGCGCAAUUGGAGCGGCCGAUAUCAGAUUAGGUAGUUGGUGGGGUAAAGGCCCACCAAGCCAACGAUCUGUAGCUGGUCUGAGAGGAGGACCAGCCACACUGGGACUGAGACACGGCCCAGACUCCUACGGGAGGCAGCAGCGGGGAAUUUUGGACAAUGGACGCAAGUCUGAUCCAGCCAUGCCGCGUGCGGGAAGAAGGCCUUCGGGUUGUAAACCGCUUUUGUCAGGGAAGAAACGCUCUGGGUUAACACCUCGGGGUAAUGACGGUACCUGAAGAAUAAGCACCGGCUAACUCUGUGCCAGCAGCCGCCGUAAUAC